GGGUUUUUAGUUUAACUAAAACAUUUGAUUUCGGCUCAAAAAAUUAUGGCUAAUUCCCAUUUUAACUCA
rnacentral:tRNA from 1 species